UUUUUCUUUGUUCUGGGUUCUCUCUGAAUGGACUAGGUUUCAAGACAGCCAAAAUUGGAGCAGGCUUGGGCUGGAAAACCUUCCAUCUAGAACUGUGGGGUCGGCAGAUUCACUCUGUUUGUGCCCGAAAAAAUGUCAGUAAAUAGUGAUGCGUCAAUACCCCAUCCAUUAUGUUAUUGUGGAGUGCAUGCACGUUUAAGGUAUUCAUGGACUAGUGACAACCCCGGAAGAAAGUGAAAGAUGGGGAUUGUGAUUUUUUUAUGUGGGCUGAUAACCAAAUGACUUCUUAUGAGAAGAGAUUGGAAGAACACAUGAGAGACAUAGAGGAAGGGAGACGGGCCGAUAUUGAGAAAGUUGAGAAGAUGACAAUGGCCAAUAUUGACAAACUUGAGAAACUAAUUGAAACAAAACACAAAGAACAAUAUGAGAGACUUCGGUUGGAGUUGGGUCUUAAUAGAAAGAUGUUUUGGGUAGCAGUAGUCGUAAUCAUUUUGGGCAUUGUAAUUUAUUUCAGUGGUUAUAGCGGUUCUAAAGUUAGCUACUUGAUGUUAGAAUGAAAGGAUGAAAACAUUAUUAGGUUAAUGUCGGUCAUUGUCAGAUAUUUUACGUUCUUAUUAGUUGAACAAUAGAAAUUCUGAAUUUUAGUUAUGAUUAGUCAAACCCAUAUUGUUAAAUGGACAAAUUUGGUAUCUUUUAAGUGAAUUUGGUUGUCCACUUAUGCAAAGCCCAGGUUAAAGUGGACUCCAGAACUUCAUCAAAGAUUUGUUGAAGUUCUGGAGUAAAUCAACUUGGAGGGCCAGACAGUGAGUCUAGAAGCUGGUUCCCAAGGGAUCAAGAUUCUGCAAGAAAGGAAAGAUGCUGGUGCAUUUGGA